GAUGAAGAACGUAGUGAAAUGCGAUAAGUAAUGCGAAUUGCAGAAUUUCCGUGAGUCAUCGAAUCUUUGAACGCACAUUGCGCCCCUUGGUAUCCCGAGGGGCAUGCCUGUUCGAGCGUCAUUUCACCACUCAAGCCUGGCUUGGUGUUGGGCGACGUCCCCUUUGGGGACGCGCCUCGAAACGCUCGGCGGCGUGGCACCGGCUUUAAGCGUAGCAGAAUCUUUCGCUUUGGAAGUCGGGGCCCCGUCUGCCGGAAGACCUACUCGCAAGGUUGACCUCGGAUCAGGCAGGGAUACCCGCUGAACUUAAGCAUAUCAAUAAGCGGAGGA
rnacentral:misc_RNA from 1 species